rnacentral:rRNA from 1 species
GACGAACGCUGGCGGCGUGCUUAACACAUGCAAGUCGAACGAAGAGCGAUGGAAGCUUGCUUCUAUCAAUCUUAGUGGCGAACGGGUGAGUAACGCGUAAUCAACCUGCCCUUCAGAGGGGGACAACAGUUGGAAACGACUGCUAAUACCGCAUACGAUCCAAUCUCGGCAUCGGGACGGGAUGAAAGGUGGCCUCUAUUUAUAAGCUAUCACUGAAGGAGGGGAUUGCGUCUGAUUAGCUAGUUGGAGGGGGAACGGCCCACCAAGGCGAUGAUCAGUAGCCGGUCUGAGAGGAUGAACGGCCACAUUGGGACUGAGACACGGCCCAGACUCCUACGGGAGGCAGCAGUGGGGAAUCUUCCGCAAUGGACGAAAGUCUGACGGAGCAACGCCGCGUGAGUGAUGACGGCCUUCGGGUUGUAAAGCUCUGUUAAUCGGGACGAAUGGUUCUUGUGCGAAUAGUGCGAGGAUUUGACGGUACCGGAAUAGAAAGCCACGGCUAACUACGUG